rnacentral:lncRNA from 1 species
CAAACCCUUUGCCAGCGUAAAGUACCCUGGUAACUGGUGUCAAAAUGUCUUUCGGAACAUAACAAAUGAAUUCUCCCCGAUACCUCCUAAGGAUGAUGACUUAGCACUCACUUUCCCUAGAAGUAAUGGCUACAGAGUUGAAGAGGGGCAGAUAAUCCAGGAUCUUCCCAGAAGAGACAUUCCCACAGCAGGCAGGCAAAAAUUUGCUUUUCUGAGUUCACAUCACAUGUGUGAGUAAAGCUAACGAAAGGGGGGUGAGGUAUGUACAGCUGCAUUGGGAACAUGGCUAAUUCAAGGCAAACUCGUUUGGCUCAGAGGGAACAACCAGUUACUUCAGGCAAGCAGCAGAAGCCCACUUGUUAAUGAGCAGCUGGUUCCUGUUGAAUGCCAUCAGGAUGAUUCAGCCACCCACCAGGAACACCAGUAACAGCAAGUGCACGCACAGAAAUCUGCAAAACUUUCUUCUUUUGAUGCCAACACUAUUACUCUGGCAAAGUCAAAACCCUUUAUGGAUUUACCAGUUCAACUAAAUGUGACCUUGUUCCCCUCACAAAUACCAGCUCACUCUCAAAUAAACACAACUUCUGGCUGAUUAAAAUGCAACGUUCUUCCACAGUUGAGUGCACCCUGCAGUGAGUCCCUCCUCUGUGCUGUGUCUACAUUCUCUCCCUUUUUCAUUUUUUCACUGUUCAAUGAAACUUCAAAGGAUGAAUGAGAUCCAUAUACACUCAGAGUCCACCUUGUAUGUUGUCCUGCUUACUGCUGACCACAUGCAUUUAAAGUUAUGCCUCAAGUUGUUUUAUUGUUUCUAUUUUUAAGAAGUUUUCCAUUUCCACAGAAUGUGGUAAUAUGCCUUGAAAAACAGAAAUGUGUAGAUAAACUGUGCUGACCACAGACUUCAUUAAUACAUGAUUUCCAUGCCAUACUCUAGCCAGUUAAAAAUUCUAUACCUUCCUCCUUCAAAUCUAGACCAGAUUACAGACUUAAAGGAAGAAAAUGCCAAAGAUGACAGCUAGCUAUCAAAAAUGUUCUAGUGCCUCAUUUUCAGGUCUCCAAAGUAAAAUCUAAGGGCAUUCGACAAAGAUUCAGGUGCUCUCAAUAGCCAUGAAAAUAUAUGGCUGAAGAGGGAAUCUGUAAAUGUAAUGAAUACACAAUUGGCUUAUAACAGAUGCAACCAAAAUUAAAUUCAAGAUCUUGACCUACUCUUCAAAGUGAAAGUUUUUAGUUCAUGCUACAGAGAG